UUCGACCGUCUUCUUCUACGCCAGAUCAACACGAAACCCCCAAAUCUCCACUAUUUUUUUAGAUCGUAUAUGCUUCAAAUCCAUUUCCACUAUACUCGCAUCCUUUCUCCAAUCUAACUAACAUAUGGAAGAUGAUAAUGAUUUGGAGCAGGUUACGGGGAGUCCUUCGUCCGGAGAGAACGAAUUUGUUCAUGUUGAGUCAGUUGAUUCUGCUCAAAUGGAUGUUAAUUCGAUUGAUCAGGUGAUGAUUUGAGAUUCUGUUGUGAAAACCUAGAUCACACAUUUUAGGUUUAGUUGCAGUGAUUGUCUAUAUGUUUAUUUAUGUUGCACCUUUUGUUCACUUAUUAAAUCUGUAAUACACUUUGAUUGUUUGUGUUAAUAAGCUUAAAUUAGCUCUCUAGAUAACACUUUUUAGGUUUAUAUGUGGUGAUUGUAUGUAAUGUUUAUGAAUUAUGGCUACUGUAAACUGUUUUCAUGUAGUUAUUUGUGUUGCACCUAUUCUUCACUUAUUGAAUCUGAAAUACACAUUUAUUGUUUG